GGAAGCCCAAGGGGAUUCUGCUCAGAUAUUUACUGUGAGAACUCCACCAAGUUCUUGGAGGUAAAACUCACAUAAGUUUGGGGCCCUCCCUAAGACUUGGUCCCCCUGAAGUUUUUAACUUUCAGACUUGUCCACAUUGAGUCUUCUUUAAUUCAUUAAUCACAGUGCAGGUUUUCCUCCCCCUGCACUGGUUCCCACAGCAGUAUCCACUGAAGACUGCUCAGUUUUUUAGUUGUGGUUAGGACCACGUGGCGAUUUCCAAGCUCCUUAGAUGUGGAAGUGGAAACUACACUCCUGAGUUUCUUGCCUGGCUGGAGGCAUUUAUGAAUCUCCAGGUUUCCUGGGUCCCAGUUGGGUCAGAAAUAUGAUUUUGGGGCCGGCCCUGUGGUCAAAUGCUUAAGUUCGCGUGCUCAGCUUCAGCAGCCUGGGGUUUGCCAGUUCGGAUCUUGGGUGCGGACCUACACACUGCUCAUCGAGUCAUGCUGUGGAGGCAUCCCACACAGAAGAACUAGAAUGACUUCCAACUUGGCUAUACAACCAUGUACUGGGACUUUAGGGAGGGAAAAAAAAGAAAUAUGAUUUUUUUAA
rnacentral:lncRNA from 1 species